AGUGAACGCUGGCGGUAGGCCUAACACAUGCAAGUCGAACGGCAGCACAGUAAGUUCUUGCUCUUACGGGUGGCGAGUGGCGGACGGGUGAGGUAUACAUCGGAAUCUACUUUUUCGUGGGGGAUAACGUAGGGGAACUUACGCUAAUACCGCAUACGACCUACGGGUGAAAGCAGGGGAUCUUCGGACCUUGCGCGAUUGAAUGAGCCGAUGUCGGAUUAGCUAGUUGGCGGGGUAAAGGCCCACCAAGGCGACGAUCCGUAGCUGGUCUGAGAGGAUGUUCAGCCACACUAGAGGUGUAGCACGGUCCAGUCUACUGCGAGAGUCUGCAGUGGGCAAUAGUGGACAAGGGGCGCAAUCCUGAUCCAGUGAUACCACGUGGGUUGUGAAGGCCUUCCGGUUGUGAGGCCCUUUUUUUGGUUUAGAACAGCAGCAGGUUGAUACCCCGCUGUUCUGACGGUACCCAGAGAAUAAGCACCGGCUAACUUCGUG
rnacentral:rRNA from 1 species